rnacentral:sRNA from 1 species
CAAUUUAACAUCAAACUCAGAUGUUGAGCGUGAAGGAUAACGUUGCGUCAGCAACGGCCCGAAGGGCGAGGCGAAGCCGAGUCAUCCUGCACGACCCACCA